rnacentral:rRNA from 1 species
GAGAGUAAGCUUGGAGGAGGAGGGCAUGGUACUGUAUACAAAGGGAUUUUGUCUGACUUGCAUGUUGUAGCCAUUAAAAAGUCAAAUAUUGUGGUCAAGAGAGAAAUUAGUGAGUUUAUAAAUAAAGUUGCCAUACUCUCACAAGUCAACCAUAGGAAUAGUGUAAAGCUUCUUGGAUGUUGUCUCGAGACUGAAGUCUCUUUGUUGGUCUAUGAAUUCAUUUCCAAUGGUACCCUAUGUGAUCUUCUUCACAAGGAACCGCUGGGAUCAAUAACUUGGAAAAAUAGAUUAAGAAUCGCAACAGAAAUUGGCAAAGCCCUUGUUUACCUUCACUCAGCCAUUUCAGUCCCAGUAAUACAGAGAAUUGAGUCAGCCAAUAUACUUCUUGAUGCUGCAUUCACAACAAAGGUGUGUGACUUUGGAGCUUCAAGGUACAUUCCUCGUGAUCAAUCAACUACAACAACAGUGGUUCAAGGAACUUUUGGAUAUUUAUAG